GCGGAGGAAAAGAAACCAACAGGGAUUGCCUCAGUAACGGCGAGUGAAGCGGCAACAGCUCAAAUUUGAAAUCUGGCUCUUUUAGGGUCCGAGUUGUAAUUUGUAGAAGAUGCUUCGGGUGUGGCUCCGGUCUAAGUUCCUUGGAACAGGACGUCAUAGAGGGUGAGAAUCCCGUACGUGACUGGUUGCCUUCGCCCAUGUGAAGCUCUUUCGACGAGUCGAGUUGUUUGGGAAUGCAGCUCAAAAUGGGUGGUAGAUUUCAUCUAAAGCUAAAUAUUGGCCAGAGACCGAUAGCGCACAAGUAGAGUGAUCGAAAGAUGAAAAGCACUUUGGAAAGAGAGUUAAACAGUACGUGAAAUUGUUGAAAGGGAAGCGCUUGCAACCAGACUUGCGCGCUGCCGAUCAUCCGGGGUUCUCUCCGGUGCACUCGGUUGCGUUCAGGCCAGCAUCGGUUUGGGUGGUUGGAUAAAGGCCUUGGGAAUGUAGCUUCUUUCGGGGAGUGUUAUAGCCCUCGGUGCAAUGCAGCCUACCUGGACCGAGGACCGCGCUUCGGCUAGGAUGCUGGCGUAAUGGUUGUAAGCGACCCGU
rnacentral:rRNA from 1 species